rnacentral:rRNA from 1 species
CACGUAGGGGACGAGCGUUGUCCGGAUUCAUUGGGCGUAAAGGGUGCGUAGGCGGCGCGGUAAGUCGGGUGUGAAAUCUCGGAGCUUAACUCCGAAACUGCAUUCGAUACUGCCGUGCUUGAGGACUGGAGAGGAGACUGGAAUUUACGGUGUAGCGGUGAAAUGCGUAGAUAUCGUAAGGAAGACCAGUGGCGAAGGCGGGUCUCUGGACAGUUCCUGACGCUGAGGCACGAAGGUCAGGGGAGCAAACGGG